rnacentral:rRNA from 1 species
UACAGAGGUCCCAAGCGUUGUUCGGAUUCACUGGGCGUAAAGGGUGCGUAGGUGGUUAGGUAAGUCCGAUGUGAAAUCUCCAGGCUCAACCUGGAAAUGGCAUUGGAUACUAUUUAGCUUGAGGCGUGGAGGGGGGACUGGAAUUCUCGGUGUAGCAGUGAAAUGCGUAGAUAUCGAGAGGAACACCAGUGGCGAAGGCGAGUCCCUGGACACUUCCUGACACUGAGGCACGAAAGCUAGGGGAGCAAACAGG